rnacentral:rRNA from 1 species
CCUACGGUGGGCAGCCGUGGGGACUCUUGCGCAAUGGGCGGAAGCCUGACGCAGCGACGCCGCGUGCGGGACGAAGGCCUUCUGGUCGUAACCCGCUUUCAGCCGGGCCGAGGCCCUCACGGUGCCGGUACCUGCAGAAGAAGCCCCGGCUAACUACGUGCCAGCAGCCGCGGUACUACGUAGGGGGCGAGCGUUAUCCGGAUUCAUUGGACGUAAGGCGCGCGGAGGCGGCCUGUUAGGUCGGGGGUCAAAUACCGGGGCUCAACCCCGGUCCGCCCCCGAGACCGGAAGGCUUGAGUCUGGUAGGGGAAGGCGGAAUUCCCAGUGUAGCGGUGGAAUGCGCAGAUAUUGGGAAGAACACCGGCGGCGAAGGCGGCCUUCUGGGCCACGACUGACGCUGAGGCGCGAAAGCUAGGGGAGCGAACAGGAUGAGAUACCCGGGUAGUC